AACGUAGGGGGCGAGCGUUGUCCGGAAUUACUGGGCGUAAAGGGCGUGUAGGCGGCUGGGUAAGUCAGGUGUGAAAACUCUUGGCUCAACCAAGAGACUGCACCUGAAACUGCCUAGCUUGAGGGUAGGAGAGGAAAGUGGAAUUCCUAGUGUAGCGGUGAAAUGCGUAGAUAUUAGGAGGAACACCAGUGGCGAAGGCGACUUUCUGGCCUAACCCUGACGCUGAGGCGCGAAAGCGUGGGGAGCAAACAGG
rnacentral:rRNA from 1 species